rnacentral:tRNA from 2 species
UGAGGUGUGGCUCAAUGGUAGAGUGUGUGCCUAGCUCACAAGGCCCUGGGUUCGAUCCCCAGUAUGGCAA